GAUGAACGCUGGCGGCGUGCCUAAUACAUGCAAGUCGAGCGAACAGACGAGGAGCUUGCUCCUCUGACGUUAGCGGCGGACGGGUGAGUAACACGUGGAUAACCUACCUAUAAGACUGGGAUAACUUCGGGAAACCGGAGCUAAUACCGGAUAAUAUAUUGAACCGCAUGGUUCAAUAGUGAAAGACGGUUUUGCUGUCACUUAUAGAUGGAUCCGCGCCGCAUUAGCUAGUUGGUAAGGUAACGGCUUACCAAGGCAACGAUGCGUAGCCGACCUGAGAGGGUGAUCGGCCACACUGGAGCUGAGACACGGUCCAGACUCCUACGGGAGGCAGCAGUAGGGAAUCUUCCGCAAUGGGCGAAAGCCUGACGGAGCAACGCCGCGUGAGUGAUGAAGGUCUUCGGAUCGUAAAACUCUGUUAUUAGGGAAGAACAAAUGUGUAAGUAACUACGCACGUCUUGACGGUACCUAAUCAGAAAGCCACGGCUAACUACGUG
rnacentral:rRNA from 1 species